UAGCUAUGGCCCUCCAAAAUAAACAAAAAUAAAAAAAUAUAAAAGCAAAUUGUAAAAUUAGUUCCAAGCAGAGGACACCUCUAAGAAAAUCCAAGAUGGAGUAUCACUACAAGGCUUUUCCUAAAGAAAAACCAAAACUGAGUUCUUCAAGCUGAAGGAAGAUGAUAAUUACAGAAAAGCACAUGAAAGCAUAAAACCUAAGUUGUCAAGUCCAAAGCACUGAUGUAUAACAAUGAAAGACAACGGAACAGGGAACAUGCAGAAGGACAGCAGUCCCCAUAACUCCGGUCGAGAAAGUUGGGUCCUCAGAUGCAGAGGAAUGGAGAAGACCCUUAUCCCUGCUUCAGUGAUUACAGGGAAGAGCGAUAAAGACAUCACGCUCAUGUGCAUGCGGGCACACACAUGCACAGGCACACACACUCGCACCUGCACACACAUACAACUACAUACACACAGUCACACACACGCGGACACACAGCACAUACUAGCACCUGCACACACAUACAAAGCCCACAUGUACAGUCAUACAUACAAUGCACACACACAUGCACACACAAAGCAUACAUACAGUCACACACACACAGCACACUUGCACCUGCACACACACAUAAAGCACACAUACACAGUCACACACACAUAGCACGCACUUGUACCUGCACACAUAUACAACACAGUCACACACCUACACAGCACACACUUGCACCUACACAUAUAUACAAAGCACACAUACACAGUCAUACACGCAGCGCACACGCACACGUGCACACACACACACACACACACACACAGAGUGAAAACAGCAGUUCAAAUCACAAUGAGGUAUUCCCUAAUACUUGUUAGUCAGCCUAUAUCGGCUGUUAUAGAAAAGAUGAAAAAACCCAUCAUGGUGCCUCAUGUCUCUAAUUCCAGAACUCAGGAGGCUGAAGUACAGAAUGUGUCUGUCUGAGGUCAUCUCGUGACGCACGUCAUGGGAAGUCAGACUGCUGUUGGAGGGUCUGCUUCAGGGGAGAACGUCAAGAGACAAAUCAGAGGAAUCUUCAUGCUUCCCCUGUUCUCAAAUGUCAAGGUGCUUUAUUUGGGGGAUAGUGGGCUGAACCCUGCCAUGUAUGUUACAGUUAAUUACAUACAAGCUACAUUUUAUAUUACUGGUAAGUAUGAGUCAGCAAUGAAAAGGAAAUAAUUUUAAGAGCUUUGACCAAAGAGAGAGAGAGAGAGAGAGAGAGAGAGAGAGAGAGAGAGAGAGAGAGAAGAAAAAGAAAUAGCCGAGCCUCAAAGGGAGCUCUGAGCUGCCAGGUAUAUAGAGGUGGGCAAGCUUUUAAAUGAUGUGAUCAUUUAACCCUCAAUGAGAUUCUGGCUUACUGGCUACAAGGACUAGUAUCAGCUUAGGGCGUAAACUGAAGAAAUGGAGUUCUGCGUCUGGGGUGAGCAUGUGAGCCAGGUGAAAGGACUGUUAGCAGUUUGUUUGAAAAUGGAGCAUUGGGGUUGGGGAUUUUAGCUCAGUGGUAGAGCGCUUGCCUAGCAAGCACAAGGCCCUGGGUUUGGUCCCCAGCUUCGAAAAAAAAAAAAAAAAGAAAAGAAAAUGGAGCAUUUAUUUGUCUUAUAGUUUAGCAGCUACACUUUUAGGGAGUUAUUGCAGAGAAGUAGACGUACAGUAUCCCCAGUGUGUGACUUAGUGAUUUAUUUGACUUUAUGAUAAGCAUUCGGUAGAGCCUGUACUUUCUAACUCUGAUCUCUUUCUCAGGCCUACUGCUGUCCUUGCAAGAUGCUGGGCAGUGACAGUGACCUGCCACCCUCCCCCACUCUGACCAUGGGGUCACGACUUACCAGUUACCCAAAACUUGGCUUCUUGGCAAACAGCAUGUGCAAGGGGUUUUCCCUUGCUUCCCCUGCCCUCCUCUGAAGACCACAAAACCUCAGAAGGGUUUCCUCCCUUCCUGCCUCUGAUGCGAAAGCUGCUGUCCUCAGACACAAAGGAAAGGAGUCCACCUCAGAAGACUCAGGGACUCCGAGGAGAGCUGGACAAGCACACCUUGGUGACUUCAAACCAUUGUAGCUGCCUUAGGCUUCCCACUCAAUCAUCUUCCUCUUCUCUCUUCAUCUGGCCUGGCAAGAAAUGCUCAUUUGUCUGCUCCCUUGUUACAGAAAACACACAUUAAAUAAAUACGGAGCUUUUCCUCUGUUUGUUAUUCGUAAUCGCAGACUUACCCACAAACCUAAAUCAGGCAGCAACCUUUCUUCCUUUCCACAUUGGUUUAAGGAAGGUGGUGGAGUUUGAUCCCACAAAUAUUACUGGAGAACCUGGAGUUGACCUUCACAUUACUUUAUUGGAGUUUAUUAUGCUGCUUUAAGAAAUAAAAAUUAUAUUGACUUAAA